rnacentral:rRNA from 1 species
AACGAACGCUGGCGGCAGGCUUAACACAUGCAAGUCGAGCGGGGGAAGGUAGCUUGCUACCGGACCUAGCGGCGGACGGGUGAGUAAUGCUUAGGAAUCUGCCUAUUAGUGGGGGACAACAUCUCGAAAGGGAUGCUAAUACCGCAUACGUCCUACGGGAGAAAGCAGGGGAUCUUCGGACCUUGCGCUAAUAGAUGAGCCUAAGUCGGAUUAGCUAGUUGGUGGGGUAAAGGCCUACCAAGGCGACGAUCUGUAACGGGUCUGAGAGGAUAAUCCGCCACACUGGGACUGAGACACGGCCCAGACUCCUACGGGAGGCAGCAGUGGGGAAUAUUGGACAAUGGGGGGAACCCUGAUCCAGCCAUGCCGCGUGUGUGAAGAAGGCCUUAUGGUUGUAAAGCACUUUAAGUGAGGAGGAGGCUACUCUAGUUAAUACCUAGGGAUAGUGGACGUUACUCGCAGAAUAAGCACCGGCUAACUCUGUGCCAGCCGCCGCCGUAA